GUGAUUAGGGGCAGUCCUGUAUCAUUUUCACAAUUAUAGUAUAUGUCAUUUCAUACUUGUGGACUGCCAACAAGAGAGCACUGUCCAUCCAGAGGAAAAAUACUGCCUGCAAUCGCUUUCAAGGGCUGAGAGAGGCAAAUGUUUACUCACAGGCACAGCUUUUCUGACCAUGAAUAGUCCCUGUGCUUUCAAAGGGAUUAAGCCUGGUAGACGUGUGCUGGGGACUGGAGCUGUGCAUAUGCUGCAGGCAGCUUUCCUUUGGCUGAAGAUACAGAAAGCUGGAGUGGCAUUAACAGCUGCCUGAAGCACAGGUUACAGUAAAGUAUAUCAUGUUCAUAUCAUCAUUGCAUACCUUGGAUUCCACUGGAAGCCUGAAGUCUGGGAGUGAGGAGAACUCUUUGGACCAUAAAUACAUUAGCUUGGCGUGAUGAACUAUGUGAAUUUGUCCUUCAGUUAAGGGUAAAGAAGAAAGCACUUUUAUUCCACAGUCAUAUUCUUGAGACUGCUGUAGUGCAAAUCAAGACAGGAUUUUUUCUCUUGUCCCAGAAAACUUGGAGACAUUUCUGUCUGUAACAUAUACUACUGAAAUUCUCAAUACGUGUAUAUAUCUGAGGCAAAGUUAAAUGUAAAUCUUCAUUCACAAUCAAACUUAAAUAAUAA